AGUUCCUUGAUACUUGCCGGUGCUCUAGUCUCUGUGAGUGACUGGAGGGACCUGAAGAAGCAUAGGUCGAGGACAUUCAUGUCCGGACUGUUUGGAGGUUGCUAUAUCAACUUUAUGUCUAGAUCACUCUCUUCUACGACCUGUCGAAAAACAUCAUCGUUAGGAAGAAGAUGAGGUUUUGCGUUAUCUUGUUGUAUGAGGAUUGUUCUUCCUACAUCCUCGUCUGGCCACCGGUCUUGGAUCGCUAGAAUUACUCUCUCGCAAAAGAUAGUAGUUGUUGUUUAUCCUAGUCAUGGAGAACCAUUUUCGCCGAUGUGGACGACAUUGUCCAUUUUCUUGAAGAAAGGAUAAGGAGUUGUCAACCCAUCGACGAGGUGCUCGACACUGAACUCCAGUCUCUUAAGCUUGUUUGCUGGCGUCAUCGAAGGCUUCAAGUAGUUACUGUGUCGUGAUAUAUCACUGAACUGGAACCUUAGGUGUAAGGUUGAGUGGCUCACACCCAAUAAUCUUGCUAAACCUCGAAUGUCCUCCUUUUGUUGAGUGGUAUUGUCAGUACCCGGCAGAUCCAGAUCUUUCUUUUUUCGACCAACAUUACAUUUCUUCUUAUUUGAUACGCCAACUUCUUCACCUCGUGCAAUCUGCGCCAGGGCUUUGGCCCAUAUCCUCUCAACUGUCUGUACACUUGUAUUCAGCAUGGAUGCAAUGAGAUACUUGUCCUGUGCUUGAAUUUCUCCAUCUCUAGUCCUGAUUACCUCCAAAGCAAAAUAGACACCAUGCCUUUGCUCAUUUGUCAAUUCUACUUUUGGAUGUCCUUGAGCAUCAGUUUCUUAUUGAGCAUCCAAAUCUUGAGCAGCUUCUUCUUGAACAUCCAUAUCUUGAGCAGCAUCGUCUUGAGGAAUCUCAUUCAAAUCGAGAACAACAGCAGCUUCUUGAACAUCCAUAUCUUGAGCAGCAUCUUCUUGAGGAAUCUCAUUCAAAUUGAGAACAUCAGCUUCUUGAACAUCCAUAUCUUGAGCAGCAUCUUCUUGAGAAAUCUCAUUCAAAUCGGGAACAACAAUAGCUUCUUGAACAUCCAUAUCUUGAGCAACAACUUCUUGAGCAUCCAUAUCUUGAGAAAAAACUUCUUGAGCAUCCGUAUCUUGAGCAACAACUUCUUCUUGAACAACAUCUUCUUGAGCAUCCGAUUGGGGGCAUGCCAUGGUUCUGUUUGAGAACUCAGCCUCGUAAUUCUUAUGUAGCUCAGUACACAUUCCUGUAAAAGAGCGAGAUUGGGGCACGACAUGGUUACUUUUGAGAACAAGAAUACAACAUCUUCUCGAGAACGGUAGCUUACCAUGUACCAGAGGUUCAGAGAAGCUGUCCUUUCGGUGCAUCCUGUUAUAUUUCCACAUAUCCAAUGCUCUAUGAGUCAGGGCCAAUUUAAACUUAUGCAUUGGAGAGCACAAAUUGAUCAUCAAAUUUCAGCAUUGCCUUGAGGUAGGAGAUGAUUCAAGAAAGAAUAUAGGUCCCGAGUUCAAAUUUGACCUGCUGCAUAAUAAAAAGAUCAUAUUAGUCUAGAUUUGUUGUUGUUCUUAUCCUACAGAGAUGUAUCAUAAAAGGUUAAUUGUGUCAUUAUUUUGUUAGUAGUGGUAGUGGCAGGCACCGCAAGUGCAUGCCUGCAUGUAUGUAUCAAGUUAAAGUUCGCACAUGGAUUCAUUGGUUUGUAUAGCUUCAGUUUAAAUUCAGUGUGUACUUGCUAA